rnacentral:rRNA from 1 species
ACCCGACUGCUAUCGGAUUGAGAUUUAGCCAUGCGAGUCGAACGCCCCCCUGUUGCGGGGGGCGUGGCGUACGGCUCAGUAACACGUAGUCAACCUGCCCUGGAGACAAGGACAACCCCGGGAAACUGGGAUUAAUCCUCGAUAGGUCAUCUCAUCUGGAAGGAGAGAUGGCUUAAAGGGGUACGAGGGCUUCUUCCACGUAUUCGCUCCAGGAUGGGACUGCGACCGAUCAGGCUGUUGGCGGGGUAAUGGCCCACCAAACCUGUAACCGGUACGGGCCUUGAGAGAGGUGGCCCGGAGAUGGACACUGAGAGAAGGGUCCAGGUCCUACGGGGCGCAGCAGGCGCGAAACCUUCGCAAUGCGCGAAAGCGUGACGAGGUUAAUCCGAGUGACUCCCGCUGAGGGGGUCUUUUGUCAGCUGUAAAUAGGCAGGCGAAUAAGGGGAGGGCAAGCCUGGUGUCAGCCGCCGCGGUAAUACCAGCUCCUCGAGUGGUCGGGACGGUUAUUGGGCCUAAAGCAUCCGUAGCCGGUUCCGUAGGUCUUCUGUUAAAUCCAACAGCUUAACUGUUGACCUGCAGAGGAUACCGCGGGACUAGGAGGCGGGAGAGGCGGACGGUACUCCGCGUGUAGGGGUAAAAUCCUUUGAUCCGCGGAAGACCACCAGUGGCGAAGGCGGUCCGCCAGAACGCGCUCGACGGUGAGGGAUGAAAGCUAGGGGAGCGAACCGGAUUAGAUACCCGGGUAGUCCCAGCCGUAAACGAUGCUAGCUAGAUGAUUCAUUCGCAAGUCGCGAAUGAAGUGUCGCAGGAAGCCGUUAAGCUAGCCGCCUGGGGAGUACGGUCGCAGACUGAAACUUA